UACGUAGGUGGCAAGCGUUGUCCGGAUUUAUUGGGUUUAAAGGGUGCGUAGGCGGUCUUAUAAGUCAGUGGUGAAAUACGGCAGCUCAACUGUCGAGGUGCCAUUGAUACUGUAGGACUUGAGUACAGACGAGGUAGGCGGAAUUGACGGUGUAGCGGUGAAAUGCGUAGAUAUCAGGAGGAACACCUGUGGCGAAAGCGGCGCACUGGACCACAACUGACGCUGAGGCGCGAAAGCUAGGGGAGCAAACAGG
rnacentral:rRNA from 1 species